GUGUGCGCUUCCGAUUUCAGAGAUGGUGGCGUGCAUGGAAAGGUAAGCGUGCAACGCUACGUCCGGAGACAAUAAAAAGUUGUUAAGCAAAGCUGAUGACAACGGGUUCUGUGAACAAUGCAAGAAGUGGUCGUCCAACCACAUCCCGAUCAGUGGAGAAUGUGGCAACAAUACAAGAAAUAUUGAAUUGCAGCCCCCAGAAAUCAAUACCUCAUAAAUAGUUCGUAAAAGUGGACUAACAAGACACACAAUACGUACGGUGUUGCAUAAAGAAUUGAAUUUUCGUCUGUGGAAACCCCAUUACGUGCAGGAGCUAAAACCUGAAGGCUGUAACUGCAGAAGUCCAGAAGUCCAGAUCUCACUCCAUGUAAUUUUUACCUGUGGGGUUACAUAGUAGAUGAGGUGUACCAAACUAAACC